rnacentral:lncRNA from 1 species
CAUGGAUAUGCUGGACAUAACAAUGGUCAGCUCGGCAUCAAUCUCACCUUUCAUCUCUUGUCUCAACAACCAGCUCGUCAACGUCUGAAGCUCGUAACCACUCUUCUUCCUCGCCGCAGUUUUCGUCUCAGCAGCAUCAGCCGCCACAGCCAUACACCUCACUCCACUCCCAACAUAGUGAUGGUUUCUCACAGCAGUUGAUGAUCGUUUGCCGUUGAAGGAGAAGAGAGACCUCGGAGAGAGGAUUGAAGGCUGAGGUGAUGAAGCCACGUGGCGUGAGCUUGAGAGAAGAAGGUGAGACGACGACGUUGUUGCUGCCAUUUUUUUCACGUUUUGGGCUCUGUUGUUUUGAAAAAAAAGUGGAAAGGGUUUGGUUUUGGUGGAGGGAGGAAAGGAUCG